rnacentral:rRNA from 1 species
UAUCCUACGGGGGGCAGCAGUGGGGAAUAUUGCACAAUGGGGGAAACCCUGAUGCAGCGACGCCGCGUGAGUGAAGAAGUAAUUCGUUAAGUAAAGCUCUAUCAGCAGGGAAGAAAAUGACGGUACCUGACUAAGAAGCCCCGGCUAACUACGUGCCAGCAGCCGCGGUAAUACGUAGGGGGCAAGCGUUAUCCGGAUUUACUGGGUGUAAAGGGAGCGUAGACGGUGCAGCAAGGCUGAUGUGAAAGGUCGGGGCACAACCCCGGGACUGCAUUGGAAACUGUUGAACUGGAGUACAGGAGAGG